rnacentral:rRNA from 1 species
UACAGAGGGGGCAAGCGUUGUUCGGAUUUACUGGGCGUAAAGGGCUCGUAGGCGGCCAACUAAGUCAGACGUGAAAUCCCUCGGCUUAACCGGGGAACUGCAUCUGAUACUGGAUGGCUUGAGUUCGGGAGAGGGAUGCGGAAUUCCAGGUGUAGCGGUGAAAUGCGUAGAUAUCUGGAGGAACACCGGUGGCGAAGGCGGCAUCCUGGACCGACACUGACGCUGAGGAGCGAAAGCCAGGGGAGCAAACGGG